AAGAAGUCAGGCCGGUUUAAGCCAUAGUACGGUAAGAGCUAUGCUGCCUGUGAGCCCUGUCCAAGGACGUAAAAUGAAGUCAGGCCGAAAGCCACGGCUUGAGCAAACCGUGCUGCCUGUGGCUCCAUCGUGGGGAUGUAAAAACCCGGGAGGCUGCAACCCAUGGAAGCUGUACGCAUGGGGUAGCAGACUAGUGGUUAGAGGAGACCCCUCCCAAGAUACAACGC
rnacentral:lncRNA from 1 species